AACGAACGCUGGCGGCAGGCUUAACACAUGUAAGUCGAACGCCCCGCAAGGGGAGUGGCAGACGGGUGAGUAACGCGUGGGAACGAGCCCUUUGCUACGGAAUAGCCCCGGGAAACUGGGAGUAAUACCGUAUGUGCCCUUCGGGGGAAAGAUUUAUCGGCAAGGGAUCGGCCCGCGUUGGAUUAGGUAGUUGGUGGGGUAAUGGCCUACCAAGCCGACGAUCCAUAGCUGGUUUGAGAGGAUGAUCAGCCACACUGGGACUGAGACACGGCCCAGACUCCUACGGGAGGCAGCAGUGGGGAAUCUUAGACAAUGGGCGCAAGCCUGAUCUAGCCAUGCCGCGUGAUCGAUGAAGGCCUUAGGGUUGUAAAGAUCUUUCGUGGGGGAAGAUAAUGACUGUACCCCAAGAAGAAGCCCCGGCUAACUCCGUGCCAGCCGCCGCCGUAAAAC
rnacentral:rRNA from 1 species